AUGCCUUGUAAGUCAGGAGAAAGAUGUCUGUUCAUUAUAAAAGACGAAUUUAUGUUCUUUGCCAGCAGUAACUUCCUCUUUAAACUCUUAAAACACUGAAUCAAUUUUGACCAAAAUUAUUCUUAUUUAACUCAUAAAUACAGAUCACAACUAAAGCAAAUUAGGCUUAAAAUCCUUUAUGCUGCCCUGGAUUUCCCUUUGUCCCACUAGAUAAUGUGUUAUGAGGUAUUUUAUUUUACUUUGUAAAGUUUUCUCUGUGGAUCAUAAUGACUUCCUGAAAACCUAAAAUCUUCAAAAUGCAUUUAAAAGGGUUUUCUGAGUGGCACAUUUCAAAAAGUGUUUUUAAUUUGUUCUUGAAUUUCUUUAUGCUGGACUAAUAUUUGAACCACUUGACCUCUCAGUCAGCUUCUUUUUAGGUUAAUUCUUGAUUCAACAGGCCUGGCAGUAAUCAGUGCCGGGUGUGGCUAAUGAAAUUGAACUCAGCUUUUAUGAUAUGGAAAUGCGAACAGGUUCUUCUUAACAUGGGACAUGACAGCUUAUGAAGGCGGUGGGGGCUGCUGUUCUUCCUGGGUUUUUUCCUGACGCUCCUCGACCUGCUGCUGGUCCAUCUGCUCGCUUUCGCUCUGGAUUUCAGGCACGGGUGGCGCUGGUCCUUCAGAGCGGGGCGAAGAUAGUCUGACACCACUGUCAUCAACUGCUGUGGCGUCAGCUACUGGUGCCAUGGGAGGAGCCGGAGCAGGCUGUUCAGGCUCAAUGCGUUUGCGAAGCAACCUUACGCUCUCUUCCAACUGUAAACCAGAGAAAACGUAGAAGAAUCCACUGGAUCAAUUUAAGGACUAUUACUGACAGUGGCAUGUUGCUAAGAGCAGAGCUCACUAGUGAGUAAUUCCAAAGGAUUUAGCUUCUGUCUUAAGCUGGUUUUUGAAUGCAUUAUUUACAUUUAAAAGCUUAACACUGCAAUAAAUAAGGUACCUGUGACCAGUAGCGAUUGACAA